CUUGGCCGCCUGUUCGGUGGGCGGUUCUAAGUGGUUCGCCCGCCGCCGUCCGUCCCGGCGAGGGUGCUGCCGACAGCCCCGCCCUGGCCCCUGCAGCGCCAGCCUUCUGUGACAGCAGAGUCCUCGGUCCAGGCUGUGGUUGUUGGGCCUGUGGCCUCAGAGCACUUAAAUCAACAUCUUUUGGUGCUGAUGGCCUGGUUCCUUGGUGUACAGUUGCCUCCCAUCUCUGCCUCUGUUCUUAUAAAACCUUCCUGGGUAUCUCUGUGCUAUCUCCUCCCAUAAGGAUACCAGGCACUGGAUUUAGAGCCUGGUAUAAUCCAGAAGGAUUUCUUUUUUAACUUAAUUAUAUCUGCAAAGAACCAACUUUCAAACAAGGUCACACUUUGGUGCUCCGGGUGGAUGUGAAUUUGGGGGAGACUGUAUUCAACACUGUAGAUGGGAUUGGUAUUACAGAUUUCUUCCUUCACCUUGUGGCUCAGCACAGAACUCCCACCUCACCAGUCUCAAAGUUUCACCCUUGAAUCAGCUAUAAAUAGAGAUAUUAAAUAUGUUUUGUAUUAAAGUACAAGUGCAAGGUCACUGUUUAGCAGGAAGCUGGCCACCCACAGGGGAGCUGCUGCCCAUCAGCUCUGGAGCCUCACACUGAGAAGCCUUCUCUCUGUAUUCUUUCCAACAAGGUUUGCCCCUCUCCCAUUUAAGCUUCCACAUCUGUGGAAUGACUUCGGUCAUCUGUGCAAUGACUCCUAAGAAAUCUCUCCAUUUCACUUUUCUUCUGAGUUUGAGACUUCUUUUCCCAUUGGUUACUGGACAUUCUGAUACACUGAACUGUAGGCAUCAUAGAGUCUCAGAUUACUUCAUUAAAAGCAUAAAGCUUUUUUUU